rnacentral:rRNA from 1 species
ACGAGAAGCUUGCUUCUCUGAUGUUAGCGGCGGACGGGUGAGUAACACGUGGAUAACCUACCUAUAAGACUGGGAUAACUUCGGGAAACCGGAGCUAAUACCGGAUAAUAUUUUGAACCGCAUGGUUCAAAAGUGAAAGACGGCCUUGCUGUCACUUAUAGAUGGAUCCGCGCUGCAUUAGCUAGUUGGUAAGGUAACGGCUUACCAAGGCAACGAUGCAUAGCCGACCUGAGAGGGUGAUCGGCCACACUGGAACUGAGACACGGUCCAGACUCCUACGGGAGGCAGCAGUAGGGAAUCUUCCGCAAUGGGCGAAAGCCUGACGGAGCAACGCCGCGUGAGUGAUGAAGGUCUUCGGAUCGUAAAACUCUGUUAUUAGGGAAGAACAUAUGUGUAAGUAACUGUGCACAUCUUGACGGUACCUAAUCAGAAAGCCACGGCUAACUACGUGCCAGCAGCCGCGGUAAUACGUAGGUGGCAAGCGUUAUCCGGAAUUAUUGGGCGUAAAGCGCGCGUAGGCGGUUUUUUAAGUCUGAUGUGAAAGCCCACGGCUCAACCGUGGAGGGUCAUUGGAAACUGGAAAACUUGAGUGCAGAAGAGGAAAGUGGAAUUCCAUGUGUAGCGGUGAAAUGCGCAGAGAUGUGGAGGAACACCAGUGGCGAAGGCGACUUUCUGGUCUGUAACUGACGCUGAUGUGCGAAAGCGUGGGGAUCAAACAGGAUUAGAUACCCUGGUAGUCCACGCCGUAAACGAUGAGUGCUAAGUGUUAGGGGGUUUCCGCCCCUUAGUGCUGCAGCUAACGCAUUAAGCACUCCGCCUGGAGAGUACGGCCGCAAGUGA